ACCGGGGCCGCGGCGCACACCCUCUGACGGGUCUUCCACGCGCCGGUUCCAAGGCCGCCCUCCAGGUUGUUGUGAUCUCAAUUCAAGAGGAAGGUGUGAUAUGGCGUCUGUCUGGGUUGGACACCGAGGGACAAUGAGAGAUCAUCCAGGCUUUAACCCAUCUGUGGAUGCUGAGGCGAUUCAUAAGGCAGUCAGAGAAAUCGGAACUGAUGAGAAGACGCACAUCAGCAUUCUGACUGAGAGGUCGAAUGCACAGCGGCAGCUGACUGUUAAGGAAUAUCAAGUAGCAUAUGGAAAGGUACGAGUCCAUUAACAUGACAGGCAGUAAAGAGCUAAUCCCUCGUGGAUCAAGGCUGCUCCCACGUGAUUAUGCCCAUGGAUCUUUUAUUUUAGGCCAAGUGUAACAGAAACUUCCCUGUGUAUCCAGUCAGUAGCCUAGAGUAAGAGUCUUGGUUUUGCCCUUCAUCAGCCGAAUGGCCUUAGGCAUGUCAGUUGAUUUUUCUAGGACUCAGUAUCUUCACCUGUUGAAGAGGAGGCGUUGCCUUGGGUCAGUAGCUCUGAACUGGGAAUGAUUUGGUUUCCCAGGGAAUAUGUGGCAAUAUCCCCAGACAUUUUGAUGAUCACAGCUGGUGGGAGAGAGAAGGAUGUUCUGGCAUCUGGUGGGCAGAGGUCAGGGAUACUGCUGAACAUCAUACCGUACACAUGCCAAUCCCCCAUACCAAAGAACUCUCUGAUCAGUUAUUUGAUAAAUCCUGUCUUACAUGAUCUUUAAUUUCUCUUCCAACUUUAAUAAGUUUAUGGAACUACAGAUUUAUUGCUUAAUUCAUUCAGCAAAUGAAAACUUAACUGUGUACCAGAAAGUAUACAAGAACUAUUCAAGAACUUUUUGUAUGUCUUUCCCACACAGUUUAUUUGUUCAGUAAUAAGCUCCUGUGUGUCAGGAGUUGGGUACUAGUCUAUGUUAGGAAAUAUCCCAGAUAUUGGAGAGUCACUGGAAUAAAAAGCAGAUCCUCUUUUCUUCCAUAAGCCAAACAUUCUAUUAGAAAAAUAAUAAAUAGGCAAAUAAAAUAAAUUCAGAUAUUGGUAGGUGCUAUGGAAGAAUUAAAAUAGAUGAUAUUAGAGAGAAUGACUAGUGAAUGGCUCCUUUGGAUACAUGGUGAGGGAAUGUCAGUGAGAGCUUGUUACUUUACUCUCAGCAAAGACUAAACCAUACUGAGGAUUCGGCUCUGCUUCAUCUGGGGUAGGGCAUUUCAGACAGAAGGUCUGGCAAAGGCAAAAGCCCUAAGGCCAAACCAAGCUGGAAAUACUGAAGAAACAGAAGGUACAAUAUGGCAGCUGUGUAGACAGUAAAGGGAGGCAGAGGAAACUGAUGAGGUUUGAAGAGAGGCUUAGAAUAUUCUGGGCCUUGGGGGUCUUGGUACAGAGGUUAGAUUUUUAUUCUAAGAACAAUAGGGACCCAUCAGAGGUUUAUAAGAAGGGGAAUCCUAUAAUCUAUAUUUUUAAAUGAUUAUUUUAGCUGCUGUGGCUAAUGAGCUAUGUAGGGAAGGGAAAGAGUAGAAACACAAACCAGUCAGGCUAUUGGGUAAAACUGAGGGUGCGUAGUAACCAUGCAAAGGCGGCUGAGGCAUCACCUGCGGGUAUUCUCCAAGUCCUCAGGCUCCAUGAAGACACCCUUGUCUGUGUUCUUUUUACCAGAUACUUCACAUGGCAUCACUCUGCAGUUUUAUCUCUAUUUCUGUUUUUCCCUAGGGUGUAAUUUCCUAGGGAUAAGAAUUGGGUCUAACUCACCAUUAAGCGCUCAGCACAGAGCAGGCACGCAGUAAACAUUUGUCGAAACAAAGCCAAGCUUCCGGGCAAGGCAACACACUCAUGCACAGGGAAGGUACAAGAUCUACGGGGCUUUCAGGAUUUCCAAAAUAGGGAGGAAGGAUGCAGGCGAAGGGUGCCAGUCCUGUCUCACAGCGGGAUAGAAAGAGAGCACCUGAAGGAAGAGUCGGGUGGGUGGAAUUUAGUAUUUGAACAGGAAACACCCCAUGACAACUACCACAGGGCUAGUCCCGCUUGGCUCCACCCCAUUUGUUUUGGUGGGAGCUCACCCCCAGUGCUGUGGUAGAUGUUGGUCUGUACCCACAUUGUUCUAGCAGUGAGGCUUCCAGCCUCCAUUGCAGAAUCAUCAAGAGCGGGAAAAAUCAUUGUUCAAUAACACUCCUUUGGAUAUUAAAAUGGAGACCAUGUUACUUGCUUUCAAUGGCGGGGGGGGGGCUGGGCUGUACUUACAAAAUGUGUGAGAACACUGCUCAAGGGGAACAUCAAUAAGUAUGUCCCCCUAUUGCCAUAUUUUGGAUUUCCUCUGCUGUUGCUGCCAGAGAACUGCUUUUGACAACUGCUAGUGUCGCACACUCUUACCAGAGGCAAAUGCUCCAGCCCUGCCUUCCCUCCACUUUUGCCCCCUGAAGCUCCUGGGCCAUCACUAGGAAGCCAGGCAGGAAGAAAGCACCUGCCAGGGAGGCUGGGUGUGGUUUCGGGGCUCCUCCUCCUCUUCCCUCACCCCAACCCAGGUGCGCUCAGAGCAUCGAGGCCCUGGGAAGUGCAUUGUAACACGCAGUUCCUGUCUGUGGCACUUAUAGAACCCCUUCCAUUGGCUUUCCUUCAGAAAACCUUCUAUGAAACAACAUUUUGGAAAUAAUCAUAAAAAGCAGAUCCACAGCCAAGGGCACUUUUACAAUUUAUUUUCCAUCUUUCAAUUCUGUUCCUCUCCCUUUGCUUUAUGUUUCACAAUCCCUUUUCUCUCUCUCUCUCUCUCUCUCUCCCUUUCACUCGCCCCCUCCCCGCCCUCUCUCUCUCCCCUUCUCUCUCCAAUAUCCCUAUUUUUCUGUCUCUUGUUUUUCCUCUCAGUGGCAGACACAAUAGGGACUCAUACUACCAAUUACCUAACAUAUUUUAGCGAGUUAAAUCUACACGUUUAUCACCCUUGGCCAGUUUGCAUUAUUUAAUAGAAUAUGUAUUUCCACGAUUUUGUUUUUGGGUUAAUGUUGUCUCUGCUGUAUUUGCUGUGUGGUUUCCAUUGUUCACUUGCUCUCUUUCCUUUUUGGCAGCAUUUUGGCUCCUUUGCCCUAGGAAUAGGAGAGGUCUAGGUGGGAAAAAGACAAGGGUUGCUUUCCUGAGCAAACCCUCCUUGCGGCUGGUGUUCAUUCACUGAGUAGAAUAUACUUUGCAGCGAGGAAGCUUCCAUCCUCUUGUUUUGUGGAGUUUGUGAGAUUGCCAUUCUGCCCUGAUUGCUCUAGCUCACUAGGUGCUGCUUUUCCCCGCUUGUGAAAAGAAGGCGUUUUCAUGCCACAUCAGGCUUCUCCUCAAAGGAGAACACGUUUGGAGUGCCUUUCAAGCGAUGCAAACUCCCUGCACCAAACCAGUGCACAGAGAGCACUGGGUGGCACCUUGGCUCAUUUGCCCUAUGUAUAGGAGUGGCCUAGGUGGGAAAGAGGCAAGGGUUGCUUUCCCGAGCAAACCCGCACUGGGUUCGUUCACUGAGACAGGAACUCCUGAGUGUUACAGCUCUUAAAGUUACCUCUUGACCAGGUCAAAAUGACAACGGUCUUCUACCACCUGGCUUUCUUCAGGAAGUGAUAAAAUAUCCCAACCCAACCAGCUCCUGCCCCAGGCAUCCUGUCAGGCCCUAUUGGCCAGAAUAGGGUAAGAUGCUCUCCACACCCCCAGCCACUCCUAACAAAGAGGAAGGGGAGGACCGGGAUGGAUUUCCUGCAGUCACGAUGCAUUCCCAGGUAGCCCAUUGAUUGCAUCAGGAGACCCGAACAGUUCACAUUUUAUUCAUGAGUAUUACUGUGGUUCCGGGUAGAAGAAAUGGCUGCUGGGAAAAUACCAACAAUGUUUGUAAGGACAGUCACGGACCAAAAGUCCGCAGAGGGUAUGGAUUGUCCUUGGAGCUGAAGAAGUCACGGAAGAUAGGGAGUUCCCAUUGUGGGACAGCAGAAGUGAAUCCGAGCAUCAUCCGUGAGAAUUUGGGUUCGAUCCCUGGCCUCACCAGUGGGUCAGGGAUCCAGUGUUGCUGUGAGCUGUGGAGUAGGUUGCAGAUGCAGCUUGGAUCCUGCAUUGCUGGCCCUGUGGUGUAGGCUGGCUGCUGCAGCUCCUAUUAGAGCUCUGGUCUGGGAAGGUCCAUGUACCACGGCUGUGGCCUAAAAAAACAGUUACAGAAAAUAAAGACAGGGGUGCAGUGGUGCCGGCAGCACAUGGGACUAAGGUCUUCAGUGAUGAGCACAACGACAGAGAAGGGACAAAUGACUGCCCAGGAGGAGUGAUGAGGCUGUGUCUAGGAAGGCCACAACCACCUUACCAGACGGGCGGCCUGCUCCCUCUGUUGCCCUGGACCCUCGGGUGUGAGGACCGAUCCUCUGCUCAGAGUCCAGCCUCCUCUGUCCUCCUUGCUUCAUUCUACCUGCAGCCCACCCAUCUUUCUUUGGAUCUGCCUUUCUUUGAGAAGUUAUCCUCUGUAUUGGCUAUCAGGUGGCAGAACCUGUGGACCCAAAAGGAGCAGUUGCACUGGCAGGGACUAGGUGGACCUCGGGUCGCCAUGGAAAACUCUUGGUGGAGCACAGGCAAGAGUUGGGGCGGGAGGACCUGCACCCCAUAAGAAAUACCCACCAGCUCUCAGAUCCUCGAGGGUUGUAGGAGCACCGAGACAUUCAAGCUGGGAAAUGAAGACUGUGAUAGGGCAGAGCGAGACCCAAGCUUCCCCGGGCAAUGGCAGCGUGAGCUCCUGUCCAACUGCCAAAAGAUGAGAGUUGGCAUCUUACCAGAAGGUUUGGAGGGAUAGGAUGAGAGACGCCUGGCCAUUGGCCGGAAGCGCAUGGCGGGGGAGGGGGUUGCGGAAGCUGCCUCGUGAUUGGCCCGGGCCACGGGGAUGUCACAGGGAGGCAUUGUGACUUGAGGGCAAGGCAGUUAUAAAAGCCCAGUGCUUCCACCGUCUCCCAGACGGAGGAUAUGGCUUUUCAGCUGUUCCUGCUCUUGCUCUUCAAGGCGGUGUCCUCUGCCGCCUUCUCUGCACCUGCACAUGGCAUGCCCCAGGCCCACCUGUCCUGCCCCGGGCCUCUCACCCACACUUGGUGUACCACAUUCCUGUUCGCAUCCAGCUUUGAGCCCCUUUGCGGGCGGAUGAGCCUACGCACCCGCACCCGGCGCCUCCUCCACCCGCAGCCCUCCUCGGGCCUGGCCCAGCUCCUCAACACUGUGCUCAGGUUCUACAACAGGGGCUUGGACGUCUGGAACCAGAACCAAGCAGACCCCCACGCGGAGGGGAAGCAGCCCUCCCAGCCCUGUUGGCCAAGAGACCUGGACACGUGCCACGCCUCCAACUCCACACUGCACAGAAGGCAGCUGGCCACCCCUCCUCAGACAUCCAUGGACCCCAGAUCCAAGAUCUCCACCUUGGCCCUCCUGCUCCACAAAGGAGAGUCACAGACUCACAGGGCGAGUUCCUGUACCUCCUGCCCACCUCCAUGCAACCUCUCAAAGGGCUCUCCAGCCCAUGUGGGACCACCAGCCUGGGUGAGGCGACUGGUCCAGUUAGGGCCACCAGUCCUGGCAGGGCCAAAAGUCCAGGCAAGGCGACCAGCCCAGGUGGGACCACCAGCCCAGGUGAGGACACCAGCCCAGGAAGGACCAGCAGCCCAGAUGGGACCAGUGGCCCUGGUGAUGCUACCACCACAGGUGGGACCAACAGCCCAUGUGGGGACGUUUCCCCAGGCAGGAGCAACAGCCCAAGUGGGGCCACCAAGCCUUGCGGGACCAAUGGCCCCAAUAGGGACAGCAGCCCAGGUGAUGGGGCCACUAGACCAGGCCACGACUCCAGCUGAUGCCAGGCUACCAGCCCAGGCAGGCCCAGCAUACCAGGUGGGGCCACCACUCCAGGCAAGUCCACCCGCCCAGAUGUGUCCGUCACCCCAGGCGAGGCUACCAACCCAGGUGGGGACACCAGCUCCUCUGGUGCCACCAGCCCAGUCAGGUCCACCAGCCCAGGUGGGGCCAACACCCCAGGCGGGGACACCAGCCCAGGCAGGGACACCAGGAUCGGCGAGGAUACCAGCCCAGGCGGAACCAACAUGCCAGGCCAGGCCAACAGCCCAGACGGGGACACCAGCCAUGACAGAAACCCUGUGGUCACAGCUAGGCUUUGGAAACAUUGAGAGUUUGCUCCUUCUGUUGACUCGCUGUGCUCUGGUGCUGCUCUUUUCCUUCUGGACAUUUAUCUCAUGCAGAGAGAUAAAGGACUACCGUGAGUUCCAACAAGAGCAGCUGGCAGAGCUGGGCAAAGGAUUGAAGAUGAUGGGUAAAGCCCUGGGAGAACUUGAGAAGACACUAAAUGCAGAAAGAGAACAUAAAAAUCAUCUUUCCAAGGAGCUGUCUGAGCUGAAGGCAGAGCUCAGAAUUUCUGAAAAGGAAACAGAGAGAUGGAAAAAGCUGUUUUUUCUAUUGUCCCGGGCACAACACCUUUUGAAGGCCUUCCCGGAAGAUGCAAAGGGGCACUGUGUGCAGGUGGAGCAGGGCCCUUAGAGGCAGGCCCAGGCCUGGGAGCUGGAGAGUUUCUUCCUCCCUGUGCACGCCCCCUAGAGGGGGAGAAGAGGGGUGGGGAGGGAGGGCAAAGCGGAGGCUGGGGUAGGGGUGCUGGGACAGAGACGUGGCCUGAAUUUCAUGAUGUAUGUAUAUUUUGAAUAAAUAAUUGAAUGUUGGAAGG
rnacentral:lncRNA from 1 species